CCUACGGGUGGCAGCAGUGAGGAAUAUUGGUCAAUGGGCGAGAGCCUGAACCAGCCAAGUCGCGUGAAGGAUGAAGGAUCUAUGGUUUGUAAACUUCUUUUAUAUGGGAACAGAGUGAGGCGCGUGUUCCUUGUUGUAUGUACCCUAUGAAUAAGCAUCGGCUAACUCCGUACCAUCAGCCGCGGGAAUACGGAGGAUGCGAGCGUUGUCCGGAUUUAUUGGGUUUAAGGGUUGCGUAGGUGGUAAAUUAAGUCAGAGGUGAAAGUUUGUGGCUCAACCAUUAAAUUGCCGUUGAGACUGGUUGACUUGAGUAUAGUUGAGGUAGGCGGAAUGCGGGGUGUAGCGGUGAAAUGCAUAGAUAUCACGCAGAACUCCGAUUGCGAAGGCAGCUUACUAAACUAUAACUGACGCUGAGGCACGAAAGCGUGGGGAUCAAACAGGAUUAGAUACCCCGGUAGUC
rnacentral:rRNA from 1 species